UGAAUCGCUUUGUUCACUUUCAUGG
rnacentral:miRNA from 1 species